rnacentral:rRNA from 1 species
GACGAACGCUGGCGGCGUGCUUAACACAUGCAAGUCGAACGGAAAGGCCCUGCUUUUGUGGGGUGCUCGAGUGGCGAACGGGUGAGUAACACGUGAGUAACCUGCCCUUGACUUUGGGAUAACUUCAGGAAACUGGGGCUAAUACCGGAUAGGAGCUCCUGCUGCAUGGUGGGGGUUGGAAAGUUUCGGCGGUUGGGGAUGGACUCGCGGCUUAUCAGCUUGUUGGUGGGGUAGUGGCUUACCAAGGCUUUGACGGGUAGCCGGCCUGAGAGGGUGACCGGCCACAUUGGGACUAAGGUACGGACCAGAAUCCUACGGGAGGCAGCAGUGGGGAAUCUUGCACAGUGGGCGGAAGCCUGAUGCAACAACGCCGCGUGCGGGAUGACGGCCUUCGGGUUGUAAACCGCUUUCGCCUGUGACGAAGCGUGAGUGACGGUAAUGGGUAAAGAAGCACCGGCUAACUACGUG